GCCAUUUUUAAAGACAAAUUGAACAAGUCAAGACGUGGGUGCCUUGUUCUCCAACAAAUCCAAUGUUUGAUUUGACAGAGUUCCAAGGACUCAACUACCACGACAAAUGGAUGAUGUUGCCCACUAUGACGGGUGGAGAGAUGGACCUCACUUGGAGUAUCAUGUUGCCGCAAUAUAAUGAGCUGAUGAAAUGGAUGAUAACACACAGAAGGGGAUCUAUUUGAGAUGGCUACUGAGACAUCUCAUCCUACGAGCCAUGUUAUCCAAGCAGAUCGUCCUUUGUUUAACUGCCACUGCAACCUAGAGCAUGGUUUAAGAAAUGUCUGCACAUCGUUUAGAGAUGGUCAAAACCUCCGAUGCGUGAGGGAAGCUGGCUGAAGCAUCUUCACGUCCAUGGCAUGGAGAAGUUCGAGACUGAGGGCGGAUUACUUUGCUGCAGCAUAUGUGAAAUGAAAGCUUGAUGAUUGCUGUACACAAAACAGUUUGUGUUCUUUUGGUUUAGUUUUUUUUUUUUGGGGGGGGGGGAUUGGGCCACUUGGUUACUAAAUUAACUUUCUUUUUAUCAAACAAUGACAGACACAGCCUAACAUAUAACUUAAGUUUAUCUUUUCCAUAUGUCCUUAGGUCAAGCCGGUCUGGCAUCUGUCUGUCUAGAGAGACAAUAGAAUAUUGCGCAGGCAGUUUUUAUUUAUGCAAGUUAGUUCUUAGAGGUGCGGCUCCAAUCCAAUCCUACAGUUGCUGCAGAUAUGUGUCAUGUCUAGCCGAGUGGUCGGCUGUGUGGUUGACUGUUGUUGGCGUUCUUCUUCGCCUCCCCCUGUUCAACUCUCCUUUGGUCGCUCCUCUGUGUACUUGGCCUCACAAUAUGACGCCCCUUGGUUUGAUAAAUAUAUUCGGAAUCAUUGAUUACCUUUAUUUAAAUGACUCUUUUCCACAUGUCCAUGACUUCUGCACUUUGACCCAGCUUCCUCUCCCGAGGUCAUCCGGUGAUUUCAUGCCAGUCUUUUGGGGUAUGAACAAUUAUCAAACCCAUGAUGAUGCCAGCCUGGGAAGUAGUCUAACAGAGCAUCUUUUCAGAACUUUUUGACGAAGUCAAGCAUAUCUCUCUUGUUCGCUUCUUGUCUUGAAGAGCUUAUGAUAGGAACUGAUUUGCCUAGGUUUGCCCUCAGUAAGCAGCCGAUCAAUUUAUUUACCGAAAGCGCCAUUCAUUAAUUUUUUGAGCACAUCAUCGUUGCACCUGUUUAGAGACACUGGACACUAUUGUUAAUUGUCAAAGACCAGUCUCCUCACUUGGUGUAUCUCAGC